UGGGGAAUUUUGGACAAUGGGCGCAAGCCUGAUCCAGCCAUUCCGCGUGCAGGAUGAAGGCCCUCGGGUUGUAAACUGCUUUUGUACGGAACGAAAAGGCCUGAGUUAAUACCUCGGGCUCAUGACGGUACCGUAAGAAUAAGCACCGGCUAACUACGUGCCAGCAGCCGCGGUAAUACGUAGGGUGCAAGCGUUAAUCGGAAUUACUGGGCGUAAAGCGUGCGCAGGCGGUGAUGUAAGACAGGUGUGAAAUCCCCGGGCUUAACCUGGGAACUGCAUUUGUGACUGCAUCGCUGGAGUGCGGCAGAGGGGGAUGGAAUUCCGCGUGUAGCAGUGAAAUGCGUAGAUAUGCGGAGGAACACCGAUGGCGAAGGCAAUCCCCUGGGCCUGCACUGACGCUCAUGCACGAAAGCGUGGGGAGCAAACAGG
rnacentral:rRNA from 1 species